AAAGCUAGCAGAAAGGUUUUGGGAAAGCCUGCCAGAGAGGGUGAAAGCCCCGUAAGCGAAAGUAGAGGCAGACAGACAGUAUCCGGAGUACCACGGGACACGUGGAACCCUGUGGGAAGUCGGGAGGACCACCUCCCAAGGCUAAAUACUACUUAGUGACCGAUAGAGGAUAGUACCGUGAGGGAAAGGUGAAAAGGACCCCGGGAGGGGAGUGAAACAGAACCUGAAACCCUGUGUUUACAAGCUGUGGGAGUGUGAUAUACCUAGUAUUAGCACGACCGCGUACUUUUUGUAGAACGGUCCGGCGAGCUGCCGUUGCUGGCAAGGUUAAGGACAUAAAGUCCGGAGCCGAAGGGAAACCGAGUCUUAAUAGGGCGAUAUAGUCAGCAGUGGCAGGCCCGAAACCGGGUGAUCUACCCAUGUCCAGGUUGAAGCCGCUGUAAAAGGCGGUGGAGGACCGAACGCACAUCUGUUGAAAAAGGUGGCGAUGAGGUGUGGGUAGGGGAGAAAUUCCAAUCGAACUCGGAGAUAGCUGGUUCUCCCCGAAAUAGCUUUAGGGCUAGCCCUGUUUUAGACCAGUGGAGGUAGAGCACUGAAUAUCCUAGGGGGCGUCAAAGCUUACCGAAGAUUAUCAAACUCCGAAUGCCAUAUGGCCGAUGAACAGGAGUCAGACUGGCCGAGAUAAGUUGGUUAGUCAAAAGGGAAACAGCCCAGACCGCCGGCUAAGGCCCCGAAGUGUGUGUUAAGUGGAAAAGGAUGUGGGAUUUCGAAGACAGCUAGGAUGUUGGCUCAGAAGCAGCCAUUCAUUAAAAGAGUGCGUAACAGCUCACUAGCCGAGAGGUCCUGCGCCGAAAAUGUCCGGGGCUCAAACACACCGCCGAAGCCGCGGAAUGUAAUUUAUUACAUUGGUAGGGGAGCAUUCCAUACGCGACGAAGCUGUACCGUAAGGAGCAGUGGAGUAUAUGGAAGGGAGAAUGCCGGAAUGAGUAGCGAGAGCAAGGUGAGAAUCCUUGCGGCCGAAUAUCCAAGGUUUCCAGGGUAAAGCUGAUCUGCCCUGGGUAAGUCGGGGCCUAAGGCGAGGCUGAGAAGCGUAGCCGAUGGACAACAGGUUGAGAUUCCUGUACCCCGUUAUAACAGAACUGUGGGGACGCGGCGGCAGAGCCGGAGCCGGGAGAGGAAAACCCGGUACAAGCAUAAGAGCCGGAGGGAGGCAAAUCCCCCUUAUAAGGAGCUUAUGUGAUGUGGACCGAACGCAAGGGUAGGGAAGCCGGACGAGCCGCUGCCGAGAAAAGCCGCUAUUGUUUAUAACGGGCCCGUACCGUAAACCGACACAGGUGGAUGAGGAGAGAAUCCUAAGGCCGGCGGGAGAAGCAUUGUUAAGGAACUCGGCAAAAUGGCCCCGUAACUUCGGGAGAAGGGGUGCCACUGUGAAGUGGCCGCAGAGAAUAGGUCCAAGCAACUGUUUACCAAAAACACAGGUCUAUGCGAAACCGUAAGGUGAUGUAUAUGGGCUGACGCCUGCCCGGUGCCGGAAGGUUAAGGGGAGUGCUUAGCGCAAGCGAAGGUGCGAACUUAAGCCCCGGUAAACGGCGGCCGUAACUAUAACGGUCCUAAGGUAGCGAAAUUCCUUGUCGGGUAAGUUCCGACCCGCACGAAAGGCGUAAUGAUUUGGACGCUGUCUCAACAAUGCACCCGGUGAAAUUGAAAUACCAGUGAAGAUGCUGGUUACCCGCGCCAGGACGGAAAGACCCCAUGGAGCUUUACUCCAGUUUGGUGCUGGGGUCCGGUACUGUAUGUACAGGAUAGGUGGGAGGCUA
rnacentral:rRNA from 1 species